rnacentral:rRNA from 1 species
CCUACGGGAGGCUGCAGUGGGGGAUAUUGCACAAUGGGGGAAACCCUGAUGCAGCGACGCCGCGUGAGUGAAGAAGUAUUUCGGUAUGUAAAGCUCUAUCAGCAGGGAAGAAAAUGACAGUACCUGACCAAGAAGCCCCGACUAACUACGUGCCAGCGGCCGCGGUAAUACGUAGGGGGCACGCGUUAUCCGGAUUUACGGGGUUUAACGGGAGCGUAGACGGUUAUGUAGGUCUGGAGUGAAAGCCCGGGGCACAACGCGGGGACUGCUUUGGAAACUGUGUAACUGGAGUGCAGGAGCGGCAGGCGGAAGUCCUGGUGUAGCGGUGAAAUGCGUAGAUAUCAGGAGGAACACCGGCGGCGAAGGCGGCCUGCUGGACUGAAACUGACGUUGAGGCUCGAAAGCGUGGGGAGCAAACAGGAUUAGAUACCCUAGUAGUC